GACGAACGCUGGCGGCGUGCUUAACACAUGCAAGUCGAACGGAAAGGCCUUUUCGGAGGUACUCGAGUGGCGAACGGGUGAGUAACACGUGGGUGAUCUGCCCUGCACUCUGGGAUAAGCCUGGGAAACUGGGUCUAAUACCGGAUAGGACCGCACUUUAGUGUGUGUGGUGGAAAGUUUUUUCGGUGUAGGAUGAGCCCGCGGCCUAUCAGCUUGUUGGUGGGGUAAUGGCCUACCAAGGCGGCGACGGGUAGCCGGACUGAGAGGUUGGUCGGCCACAUUGGGACUGAGAUACGGCCCAGACUCCUACGGGAGGCAGCAGUGGGGAAUAUUGCACAAUGGGCGCAAGCCUGAUGCAGCGACGCCGCGUGGGGGAUGACGGCCUUCGGGUUGUAAACUCCUUUCGCCAGGGACGAAGCGUUUUGUGACGGUACCCGGAGAAGAAGCACCGGCUAACUACGUG
rnacentral:rRNA from 1 species